rnacentral:lncRNA from 1 species
ACGCGUAUUUUCAUCCGCUAGCAGCUACAACGGGGCGUGGCACUAUAGGCCAAAGCAGGUCACGUGACUUCCGCUGCUUUGAAAAAAGUCAGCUAAAAGCUAAGUGUACUGUGGCGUAUGUAUUGUUAAACAAGAUUUCGUAAAUCACAAAAAUACUGUAUGCGACGCCCAUUGCUGAAAUUAACGCCUGCUGUCAUGGCAAUGGUGGAGACGCUGCGACCUUCCCGAGUGCAAAUGGCGGCGCUCAUGCGAACUGACUGAACAGCCGCGCACGCCCGUUGGCCACAUUACCGUGCGUCGGACUACACUGGACGAAAUAUGCUGCUCAAGAAUGCACAUUGACUUCGGAGGUCUUCUUCAGAAUAUUGGAGUAAAGCCAGCAAUUUUAAUGGAGUCAAUCCGUCCAUAUGACCACUUGGUGCAAGCUUCAUUUUUGUGUUACACAUUCACUCAUUACAAUAACUGUAAUAAAAGAUUUGGAAAAUACA